rnacentral:rRNA from 1 species
UACGUAGGGGGCAAGCGUUAUCCGGAUUUACUGGGUGUAAAGGGAGCGUAGACGGCAGAGCAAGUCAGAAGUGAAAGCCCGCGGCUCAACUGCGGGACUGCUUUUGAAACUGCCCUGCUGGAGUGCAGGAGAGGUAAGCGGAAUUCCUGGUGUAGCGGUGAAAUGCGUAGAUAUCAGGAGGAACACCAGUGGCGAAGGCGGCUUACUGGACUGUAACUGACGUUGAGGCUCGAAAGCGUG